AGCGCCGCGCGUUCGAGAAGGAUCUGGAACGGGAGGGAGAAGACGCUCGCGACAGCGACACCCCGCGCCAUGACGUCACAGCGCGGCGGGCCUCCUUUUAAAGGAGCCGGGGCGGGAGCAGCCGCCGCUCGCACUGCGGUGGAGGCCGAGAGCGCGGCCUUGAGCGCGGCACCUGCCAUGGCAAUGCAAAAACUGCUUGCGACACUGUGUAAUUUAAUGUGAUUAUAACAAUCUAGGGCAAUUACUGCUGAGCGGCGAUUAGCCAAUUACUAAAGUCAUCCUCAGCAGCUGUGAGUCAGGAGUAGCCUGUGGGACCACCCGUCCUUCCUCAGGAUCCUGGCCUUUGAUGGCUUAGGGCCCAGCCCACUCAACGCUGAGGCGAGGAGAGGGCCAAAGCCACGCAGUUCCCAGGGAAGAUGAGUGGCCAGGGCAUUGUGGAACUCUCUCUCAAAAGUGCCUGAAAACCUGGGGCUUGCCCUGUGUCAGAAAUGCUAACUCUGGGCACUUGAGUCCAAAGCAGGUAACGGGGAUUCUGCCGCCUGCAAGGGACAGGCAGAACCCCUAGAGCUUCAUUUUUUUUCCUCCCGCCACCACCACGUACAGAGAAGCUGUCUCCAGUCUGUGCCUGUGUAUUCCUCUUUACUAGAGAAAAAACAAGUAGUGAAAGCUGAACACUGCAGUUGACACCAUUUCCUAUAGGCAUCGCUCAAGUACGGAGGAUAGACUACAGAAGUUAACCCACAAGCCAGACAUCUCUGUACCUUCAGGUGAAGGAAAGAAAGGAUGAGAAGCAGUGAAUACUCGCAUGUGCCCACAUCACCAGUUUUGUACAAGUCAGAGCUGAAGUGCUGAACACUGCCUUCAGCUUUUUCCAAGUGCUCUAUGACUGAAAAUUGUGCUUUCUGCUUUGAGCUGGGACAGCCCAGAGGAAUGUUGGGCAGCUAUUCUCUGCACAGCAGAGCACUUGGGAAGUUCUGCCCACUGUGGAACUUUGCAUAAUGAUGAAAGCAAAGCUCUCGGAUACUGUGAGCGGCACCACAGCUGUGACAAGGCUGCUCUCUGGGGAUGUGUUUGGUGAGCUGUCAUGUAACUCCUCUGUUGCAGCUGCAGUCGCUCCAGGAUUUAAGCACGGUGUUAGGAACUGACACUGCUAUUUGUCUUCACUACCGAAACCCAAGUACACUCAUUUUGGGAGAGAUGAAUCUAAAAUCCCUCUCUCUGUGGGAAAUUCUACUGGAAAGAAGACACUAGUUUGUUGGUUUUUUUUUGAUGUUGAGAACUUGACUUAAAGCUACAUCAUAAGCCAAAUCCACCUGCAAUAUGAAGGCAGGGUUCUGGACCAUAAUGGCAUAAUUUGACUACUUUAGGCCUUUGAGGUGAGGUUUGAAUUUUCUGAUGAAGACUGUUGCUUUUUGUUGCAUCUUCUGUUAGGAAAUCAACGUAUGAGAUCACUAGAGACUUCCUGACUGUAAUACAUGCAGGAAAUAAAUCUAUGGUAAAUUUUUAUAUAGAUAAUUAUAAGUAAGCACAGUAACACAGCCAAAAAUGCAUUUAAAAUAGUUUGCCUUGAAUCUACACAAAUGUAUGCAAAAGAAGAGAUAUUUGGAAAUGGCUGUUACAGGUUAGCUGACAGAAAUCAGCUUUGCUGAAAGCAGUAACUGUACUGUACUCAUUAUUCUGGAAUGUUAUCCCAUCUGGCAAAUAUACUUUUAACUGAAGAAAUAAAAAGUGCUGGUUUUAA